GAUCUCCAACCCCCACCACAGCUUAUCUGUUGGUGUCACUGGCCCCAUUUCCACAUAAAGGAACAGAGGCUCAGAGAGGUAAAGUGACCCAGUGAGGAAGGGGGAGAGUUGGGGUUCAAAUCCCGGCCUUCCUGCUCCGACAUCUCCUCCACCCGGCCCAGGCCGUUUUCUGACUCCUUUGGGCCUCAGUGUUACCACCCAGGGAAGUGGAUCCAGGGUAAUACCAACCUUCCGACAGGGAUAAAGAGGUAGAAAAUGGCCAGCACGCAGGUCCGCUGGUCCCUGACGAAGAGGUCUCCCAGGACGGUGGGCGCAAUGGUGGAGUAGCUGGCUGUGCCAAUGCCUACCACUCCCCGGGACAGGAAGAAGAGCCAGGCGUGCUGGGCAAACGGGCACAAGACCACACAUCAGCCCAACAGUGGAAAAGCCAACAGCUCCCUCCAAGGCUGUGUAAAUAUGAAGCAGAAGUGAACACAGAGCCCAGUAUGGAGCUGCCAGUGCCCCGUAUUUACAAGAAUUCCCGCCCCCUUAAACGCUUAUGAACUGGCGACUGGAUUUAACGAAUGCGUUUGCUAUUCCGCGAAGACAAAGAAACUGCCACGUUUUUGCUGGACUGUAUGUACCACGUGGAUAGGUACCCUCACUGCUCUGGUUCCUCACAGAAAAACGCCUCCACCCUCCUCUGUGCGUCUGCAGCCUCCGAGAGCUGGCAGGUGGUGAGGGCAAAGUCUGACCCUGCUCCCCCACCCCGACCCCACCCCCCAAGAGCCUUAGGCUUUGGAGAGCCCCGCCCAGCGUCUGCGUCGUCAUUCACGGGCACAGAUGAUUGACACUUCCUGAGCCCAAUGACUGUUCAGGCGCUACCUGGCGCGGGUUCCAGCCCCGCCCACUUCUCUCUGACCCGCUCUAGUAUUGGUUUGAGCCAUAUGCUGUUGCGGAAAUUAAGCCAGUUUUGACCUACAAAAAAGGCAAUUUAAAAUGGUUUGACCUAAUACACUGCAGAGAACGGUCUUUGGUGUCAACGCCAUUUAAAAAUUUAAUAGCCACUGUCACAAUAGGUUUCCGAAAAGGAUGUAUCAAUUUACACUUGAAUAGAAAUGCAUGUAUAUAUAUAUACCAGCACCCUUGCUGAUACUUGAUAGGAUCAAUUAAUUUUUGUUCAUUUAAUGGUUUAAAAACAAACGGCAUCUCGCUGACAUUUUAAUUUGCAUUGUUCUUUUUCCCAGUGAGGCUGAGUAGCAGUCCCUGUGUUCAUAUCCUCUGCCCAUUUUUUUGUUAGGUUCUUUUGAUAAUUCCUCUUACUCCUUUAUUUAUUUAUGUGUGUAUG